rnacentral:rRNA from 1 species
CACGUAGGGGGCAAGCGUUGUUCGGAAUUACUGGGCGUAAAGCGCGCGUAGGCGGUAAUGCAAGUCAGGGGUGAAAUCCCGGAGCUUAACUCCGGAACUGCCUUUGAAACUGCAUUGCUGGAGUGUGUGAGGGGAUAGCGGAAUUCCUAAUGUAGAGGUGAAAUUCGUAGAUAUUAGGAGGAACACCGGUGGCGAAGGCGGCUAUCUGGCACACAACUGACGUUGAGGCGCGAAAGCGUGGGGAGCGAACAGG